GACGUAGGGCGCGAGCGUUGUCCGGAUUUAUUGGGCGUAAAGAGCUCGUAGGCGGUUUGUCGCGUCUGCUGUGAAAACCCGAGGCUCAACCUCGGGCCUGCAGUGGGUACGGGCAGACUAGAGUGCGGUAGGGGAGACUGGAAUUCCUGGUGUAGCGGUGAAAUGCGCAGAUAUCAGGAGGAACACCGGUGGCGAAGGCGGGUCUCUGGGCCGUAACUGACGCUGAGGAGCGAAGGCGUGGGGAGCGAACAGG
rnacentral:rRNA from 1 species